GAGGCAUAAAAACAAUGAGGCUGUGGAGAGGCGUAGCCGACAGCGGGGUAGCAGUCCCACUCAAGAUGGCGGCCAGGAGGCGGAGUGUGCGGCGGAGCGGAGAGGCGGGGCGCGCUUGAAGCGACGCUGCAGCAAUCCGAGUCAGGAGUCCAUUGGAGCUGCACAAGAAAUGAACAUGCUGUAAUUUGCUGCUCUCUAGUGGCCAGUAUUGUCAUCGCAGGAUUACGGCCUACUACAACUUCCUGCACACGCCAUGUGUUCAAACAACUAUAACACAUUUUUAUGGAGCCAUAAAUGAGGAGUCCAAACAGGGAAGCGGUCGCCAUGGAGACGGUCGGUGCCUAUGACGUGAGGAAAAAAUGGCGGCCAGGUGGAUUCAUCGAUUGUUCGACCGUUUAGGUUACACAUAACAACGUCACGCGGUCAUAAAAUUUAGGAACCGUAAUGUCAGCACAGUCUUGGAGCGGUCCGGCGCGUGUUGCCAUGGUAACGCGUGAGGCACUCUCGACACUUCUCUUUUUACGACAAUCCAAACCAGAGCGAUGUCGAACCAAUUAGCGACAUGCGAGAAGAAAGACACGUUUUUUAUUUUAUUUUUCAUUUUAUUUUUUUUACCUGAGCCCGCCUGCAGUCCAGACCUGUCCCCCGAUGAUAAAAAACGUGUGAUUGUCACCAAAAAGAAGGAGGAAGGUGGCGAAGUGAAAUCUCAGACUUAGGAACCCAUAAUAAUUAUGGUGAAGGUUUUCUUCCCAUGAUGCACCGGGGCCGGUAGGGCUGGGAGUGACCCAUCACCGUGACCCCAAACAGGACCGGAAAAACUGAUAAAACGCCUGUUUGUGAUGAGUCAGCUGAAAUUGUAGGUUUUGGAUGAUGUUAUCGACUAAUUAUACAUUAUUUGGGAGGUUUUACGCUGCACCAUGAAUUGAUUAACGUGGACCCCGACUUAAACAAGUUGAAAAACGUAUUCGGGUGUUACCAUUUA